AAAAGGGCACGGGGCAGAGGGACUAUGUUGUGAGCCUGCGAAAGAAGUUUGUGUGGGGACUGUGGGCAGUGAACGCGUUGGGAACAAUAUGGAAAACUGGGAGCCGCCUUGGAAUCUACAGGGCCGGGACCCACUCGAGCCAUCCACACUUGCCCCAGCCUCCUCCAAAACAGCACACUUUCCGGCUGAAGAAAAGAAGAAUGGUAUUCACGCAGUUCCCAUUUUACAGAUGAAAACAAGAGGACUUUUUCUGUGAAGUCAAGAAAGUGGUUACAAUGGUACUUUCAGCCUGUCCGAAUUAUGUAUUGCCCCUCCCCUUUUUAUUAAUAACAUUGAAGUGUGAUGGGACAACCACUGAAGCCGUCAGUUGAAACCUGCUGGGACUUUUUAGCCAUUCUCUUCAACAUAAAGAAUGGGUGUUUUUGGAGGGGGUGAGAGGAAUGGGGAAAUGUUGUCAAAGAGUACAACGUUUUAGUUGAGACAGGAAGAAUAUAUUUUGUUGAGAUCUACAGCACAGCAUGGUGACUGUAGUUAACAAUGAAGUAUUGUCUAUUUCCAAAUUGCUAAGACAAUAAAUUUCAAAUGUUCUCACCACAAAAAA